AUGGACUUCCUGCUGCAACCUAUAAACAGAACACUGCUACAGGAGGUGAAUGACAACAACAGCAGUAGGGAGCCGAUGCGGUUCCCGGUGAGUGCGCCGGUGAGCGCGCAGGCUGGUUUAGAUGUGCCAGCGGUGGCAGCUUCAAGUGCAGACGAUCAUAUUUGCCCUGAAGAGGCCCCGGCGGAGGCAAGAAGUGCAGACAAGGAGCAGGGUCCAGAGCAGUCGAUAGAGCAAUUGGACCCAAAAACCCCAGGAUGGACACAAAGAGUGCGUCUGGGUGCUGCUGCUCCAUUCAGGCCUCCUUCUGCAGAUAGAAUAACAGCGUUCGAGAAGACCGUACGCCAAUUUGCAGAGGACCCA
rnacentral:rRNA from 1 species